AGUCACUGACAUUAGAUACCCCUGUAGUCCAGGGUGUAAACGCUGCAGACUAGGUGUUGGGGGCCCUUUGGGGGCAUUCAGUGCCGGAGAGAAGUUGUUAAGUCUGCUACUUGGGGAGUACGUCCGCAAGGAUGAAACUUAAAGGAAUUGGCGGGGGAGCACCGCAACGGGAGGAGCGUGCGGUUUAAUUGGAUUCAACACCGUAAACUCACCAGGGAAGACUGUUACAUGAAGGCCGAGAUGAAGACUCUGCUAGAUUUUCAG
rnacentral:rRNA from 1 species